UCACCUGAGUAUUUGGGUGAUGAUCAGGAAGAGGAACAGUGAAUGGAUGGUUGGUCAAAAUAGGACCCCACAGAGACAAGAUCCUGCCACUUAACUCUGUUGGAAUUCUAUUUUGCAUCACCACAAGCUGACUGCACAUUAUUCUGGACUUAAUUAUGAUUAAUUGUGUAGAUUUAGAUUGACACUGAUUUGCAUGUAAAGGCAGCACUAAUAAUUGCUUAUUGUUUUGGAUGUGGGGGGGGGGUAUAUCUGUAUAUUUCCAGGUGUGGAGAGUGAAACUAAGUUUUUGAGUUCAAUUGUAACUCCUCAGUGUCUACACUUGUACAGUCAGAGAGUAUUUUUGCUUUAGUACCUUAAACCUCUGAAAGGGUUCAAUGCUCGUCUGUGAUGAUUUUAGUUUUGAAUCUCUUUUGUCAGAGAUGUGCUCUGUAGUCUCAGACAUUUACUUCAAAAAAGACAAAAGCAACAAGCAUUUGAACUUGAUGAAAGCCUGCAGCUCUUGAGAGCGGAGAUGCAAGGACCUUUUUCCAUGAUUUCAUCUCUUAUGUCGAACUAUAGGGCUCACAUAAUAGGUUCAAUUACCUAUUACAGUACAUGCUGUUCUUGGUCUUGCACAGUUGGGCACACUGCAUAUUAUUUUACUGCUUAUUAUUAUAUUUAAGCAAGCUACAAAAUGCAUGUAUUUAUGUUCAAGCAGCUGAUUCACAAGACCAAUAAGCAGACUGAUGGUUCUUGAAUUCAUGUGCAAGGCAGGAGAAUGCCUAUAGUUUUCUUUGGGGCCACAAGUACACAAGAAAAAAAAAAAACAAUGUACAGCUCCUGGAGACAAAUCUCAGCUGUUUUCUUCCUCAGGAGGGAGGCAAUUUCCCCUUUCAAUACCUCCAUCUCUGCAUGAUUGGAGACAGCAGUAUGGAAGAAAACUCACAGGUUGACAGCUGAAUUUGAGUGCAUAUGCUUUCCUGCCCCUGUGCGGCCAAAAGGAGGGAGGAGCACGGACCUCUGAGCACACAAAGAGACGUGCUGAAAGUGGGUGCGCGCUAAGGGUUAGCAGUUUAAAGCUCUGUGUGCUCACCUGUCGCCUCCCUCACACUGAGGAAGGAGACACAUGGCGCAAAGGGUCACUGAGACAGGAAGGCACAGAUGGAAAGAGACGCUCCGUUUCCCUCUCUCUCUGAAGCGUAGUGAGGAGAGGGACAUGUGGAAGUCACCGAGAAAUAAACCCAAACAGGUCCCAUCGCAGGGCCUGAUCUUUGCAUCUGAUAGAACAUGGAGCAGACCCCCUAGAGUGCCGGUUCCUGAUAUGACCCCAUUCAAGCUUGGUUGCAAACUCUUAUACAGCACAGUAUGUCCCUUCUAAAAUUGACAGCAAAGGCUUGAAACAUCCUAACGUCCUGCAUUAUUAACAGGGAAAAUUCAGGCAGAAAUGUGUUGAUUCCAGUGUAAUCAUACUGAUCAGCUUAGGGAACAUUUAUCUAACACAGAGUUCAAACUGAAUCAUUAACUACGCAAUAAUAGAGCGGCAUUACAAAAUGUCCUGAAACUGUACGGGAACAAAGUAACAUGACGAAAGCAACAAGAUGAAAUCAUUUGAGUCAUUUCACACCAGCGAGUGCCAUAAAAUCCUCCUCUG
rnacentral:lncRNA from 1 species